rnacentral:rRNA from 1 species
GUCUUUUUGAUUAUAAUUUAAAGUCUGACCUGCCCUAUGAUAAGGUUUUAUUAAAUGGCUGCGAUAAUUUGAUCGUGCAAAGGUAGCAUAAUAAUUAGUUUUUUAAUUGGGAACUGGUAUGAAAGGUCGAACGAAAAAAAAGCUGUCUCAAUUUAAGUUUUAUUAGAAUUUUAUUUUUAAGUAAAAAAGCUUAAAUAAUUUUAAAAGACGAGAAGACCCUAUAGAGUUUUAUAUUUAUUUUAUUUUUUUUUGAGUUUUAGAAUUUAAUUUUAAGAUUAUUUAAUAAAUAUUUGGUUGGGGUGAUUGAAAAAUUUAAUUAACUUUUUUUAAAUAUUUUACAUUAAUAUAUGAUUAAUUGAUCCAUAAUUUAUGAUUAAAAGAUUAAAUUACCUUAGGGAUAACAGCGUAAUUUUUUUUGAGAGUUCUUAUCGAAAAAAAAGUUUGCGACCUCGAUGUUGGAUUAAAAUUAACUUUUGGUGUAGGGGCUAAAAUAGUUAGGUCUGUUCGACCUUUAAAAUUUUACA